GGGGAAUAUUGCACAAUGGGGGAAACCCUGAUGCAGCGACGCCGCGUGAAGGAAGAAGUAUCUCGGUAUGUAAACUUCUAUCAGCAGGGAAGAAAAUGACGGUACCUGACUAAGAAGCCCCGGCUAACUACGUGCCAGCAGCCGCGGUAAUACGUAGGGGGCAAGCGUUAUCCGGAUUUACUGGGUGUAAAGGGAGCGUAGGCGGCAUGGUAAGUCUGAUGUGAAAGGCAGGGGCUCAACCCCUGGACUGCAUUGGAAACUAUCAAGCUUGAGUGCCGGAGAGGUAAGUGGAAUUCCUAGUGUAGCGGUGAAAUGCGUAGAUAUUAGGAGGAACACCAGUGGCGAAGGCGGCUUACUGGACGGUAACUGACGCUGAGGCUCGAAAGCGUGGGGAGCAAAC
rnacentral:rRNA from 1 species